AGCGAACGCUGGCGGCAGGCCUAACACAUGCAAGUCGAACGAACCUUUCGGGGUUAGUGGCGGACGGGUGAUUAACACGUGGGAACGUGCCUUUAAGUUCGGAAUAACUCAGGGAAACUUGUGCUAAUACCGAAUGUGCCCUUCGGGGGAAAGAUUUAUCGCCUUUAGAGCGGCCGGCGUCUGAUUAGCUAGUUGGUUGAGGUAAUGGCUCACCAAGGCGACGAUCAGUAGCUGGUCUGAGAGGAUGAUCAGCCACAUUGGGACUGAGACACGGCCCAAACUCCUACGGGAGGCAGCAGUGGGGAAUCUUGCGCAAUGGGCGAAAGCCUGACGCAGCCAUGCCGCGUGAAUGAUGAAGGUCUUAGGAUUGUAAAAUUCUUUCUCCGGGGACGAUAAUGACGGUACCCGGAGAAGAAGCCCCGGCUAACUUCGUG
rnacentral:rRNA from 1 species